rnacentral:rRNA from 1 species
UACGUAGGGUGCAAGCGUUAAUCGGAAUUACUGGGCGUAAAGCGUGCGCAGGCGGUUUUGUAAGUUUGUCGUGAAAGCCCCGGGCUCAACCUGGGAAUGGCGAUGAAGACUGCAAGGCUUGAAUCUGGCAGAGGGGGGUAGAAUUCCACGUGUAGCAGUGAAAUGCGUAGAGAUGUGGAGGAACACCGAUGGCGAAGGCAGCCCCCUGGGUCAAGAUUGACGCUCAUGCACGAAAGCGUGGGGAGCAAACAGG